GUAUCCGAGGCGUUCGCGCCUCGGCCUCAUUGAAGC
rnacentral:other from 1 species